rnacentral:rRNA from 1 species
GACGAACGCUGGCGGCGUGCCUAAUACAUGCAAGUAGAACGCACAGUUUAUACCGUAGCUUGCUACACCAUAGACUGUGAGUUGCGAACGGGUGAGUAACGCGUAGGUAACCUGCCUGGUAGCGGGGGAUAACUAUUGGAAACGAUAGCUAAUACCGCAUAAUAUUAAUUAUUGCAUGAUAAUUAAUUGAAAGGUGCAAUUGUACCACUACCAGAUGGACCUGCGUUGUAUUAGCUAGUAGGUGAGGUAACGGCUCACCUAGGCGACGAUACAUAGCCGACCUGAGAGGGUGAUCGGCCACACUGGGACUGAGACACGGCCCAGACUCCUACGGGAGGCAGCAGUAGGGAAUCUUCGGCAAUGGACGAAAGUCUGACCGAGCAACGCCGCGUGAGUGAAGAAGGUUUUCGGAUCGUAAAGCUCUGUUGUAAGAGAAGAACGGGUGUGAGAGUGGAAAGUUCACACUGUGACGGUAUCUUACCAGAAAGAGACGGCUAACUACGUG